rnacentral:lncRNA from 1 species
UUUGUUUAGUUUUAUAUUAGCACUUAGAUUUUUGAGUCCAAUUCUUUCAAACAGUGGAAUUUGAGAUUCCGGCGAAAUUUCUCGCUUUGGCUGCUUCUCGCUUCUCUUGGAUCGUCUUCUUCUCUACUACAACGUUUCCGGGAAGAGACUUGGGGUGGAUGAGAAUCUUUUUCGGAGUGGAAACAAUUCUUCUAAUAUUUAGGAUUUUUGUGGUAUUUUUUUAUAGUGUAUUUCUGUAAUUUUAUGGAUUUUGAGAGGUUGUAUAUGUGAU